GAGGUGACGUAAGAGAACGAAUCCUCGCUUCAUAACAAACUGUGCCGACCAGCUGAUACCAGAAGGCAGCGCGAGUUCAUCGUGUCCAGGGUGUCCGACGUGAGGAGGAAUUUGGAGGACGACUACCGGCUAACUACUGUUUAUAUAAACGAAGGCAUGUCGGACGAGGCAGAGCUGGCACACACCUCGGACAGAGGAUUGAUAAGGUGCCUUAGCGCGGCUGCUAGGUCUGUCCUGUAUUUCCCAUUGAGAGAGCUCGGUAGAGCGUGAGUGCGCGCCCCCCCCCCCGCUCACCGCGGGUUAAUAACGGUCACCUGGGCAGCGCGUGGAGGUCAGCUGCGCCCGACCCCGUGACCUGCAGGCAGGAGAGCUCGCGCUCAGUGUGUGGGCACGUGGGGGACAUAACAUGAGAGUCCUCACUGUGUGUCUACAGAGUGACCAAUGACUAUUACUGGACUGCUGGCUAGCGCAGUGACCAAUGACUAUUACUGGACUGCUGGCUAGCGCAGUGACCAAUGACUAUUACUGGACUGCUGGCUAGCGCAGUGACCAAUGACUAUUACUGGACUGCUGGCUAGUGCAGUGACCAAUGACUAUUACUGGACUGCUGGCUAGCAAAGUGACCAAUGACUAUUACUGGACUGCUGGCUAGUGCAGUGACCAAUGACUAUUACCGGACUGCUGGCUAGCGCAGUGACCAAUGACUAUUACUGGACUGCUGGCUAGCGCAGUGACCAAUGACUAUUACCGGACUGCUGGCUAGCGCAGUGACCAAUGACUAUUACCGGACUGCUGGCUAGCGCAGUGACCAAUGACUAUUACCGGACUGCUGGCUAGCGCAGUGACCAAUGACUAUUACUGGACUGCUGGCUAGCGCAGUGACCAAUGGCCACUGCUCGCUAGUACAGUGACCAAUGGCUAUUACUGGACUACUGGCUAGUAAAUUGACCAAUGACUAUUACUGGGACUACUUAUGGUCCUGGCACUGUAAACUACACAUUUUAUGAUGGUGACUAAAAAUGUUAUAUGGUGCUAAAAAAAAAACAUCCUGGCGCUUAAAUUUAUUUAUUUUAUUUUUUUUAAAUAGUAAUUUUGAUUAGGUGCUCUUGUACCUUAAGUUAUCCUUAAAUAACUUUUUUAAAAGUCCAAAAUUUGUAAAUUGUUAAUUUACAAAUUUUACAUAUUUAUUUGCUCCUCACAGUAUGUGAAUCCAAAUCUGUAUUCCUAACUCAAUAUUAAAUAAUAUUGCUGGCUAUAAAGCACCAACAUAUUCAGCAGCUGUGUAUAGUAGGUGGUGUAAGAAAAGUUAGUUGGGUUUAAAGACGCAAAAGGUGUUGAGGAAACUGCUAAGAUAAUGACCUUUUUAAUUUUUUUAGUUAUGAGGCUGUUCUAUAAGGACAGCCCUGACUUGGCUGGAGGAUGAUUGGGUAUUGAUGCAUUUUUGUUGGUCUUGUAUGAAUCUUACAGGGUUCUUCUUAAACUGGGAAUAGUCAGAAAAUCACAAUAGACUAGCAUAGUUAAUAUGAAAUUGUAUAUGUGGUGAAGCUUUUUCAUUGUUUUUAAAAUUUGCAAUUCACUUGGGAAUUCCUAAAAUUCUAAGUCUAGUGAACAGUACUGCUUCCCCCACCCCCCUCCCCCCCCAAGAUGUGGUAAAACUUCAUUGCUGGUUUAGUUUCAGAAUAAUAAUUAAUUUUAUGACAUAGGAAACAAUGGUAUCUGGGUUCUCCAUAACCAGUUUGUAAAUGUGUAAAAUGUCAAAAGAACGAGCGGUUUUUAAUCACUUGUGGUACUCAGGAACGGGGUACCUUCUAAUUAUACCAUGUCAAUCAGAGUUUGUGUCACCAGAACACUAUAUUUAACAAUUUUUACAUAGCAACCAUGUCCAGAAUGUGUUUCAUAGAUUGACAACGUAUACAGUAGUUGGUGAUAAUAGGUUGGUACUUCAAUACAUUGCAAUGUAGUUACUGAUGACACUUAGAUGAUACAUCAUUAUAAACUAAAGAAUGUUUGCAGCAAAUUAUUGAGCGUGCCAGAAUUUUUUACGUGUGGCAGUAUUUUCCAGUCUAGUAUACCUAGCUUUCUAUCGUUGGUAGUGGACGUGUGGAGUCGUGCCUGUCAAACUGUUCUAGAAUGCACUGUGACGUUUUAAGUUGUUGGAAUGUUCCUUUAAGGGAACACUAGUGUUAGGAAUCCAAAUCUGUAUUCCUAACUCUAUAUUUGCCCCCAUGCACUCCCCUAUGGCAAUGAAAGAGUUUUUAGCACACAAAAAAAAACUUGAAACGCCUUUUCAAUUCCAGCACCUUCCUCUGUGCUUGCUCAGUUUCAUAACGAGUGGGACCUAAGUGACAUGUGCGUUAGGAAAGCAUUGAGUCAGUGCUUUCUUCUGGGGAUUUAGAUUAGAAGACGCUGAAUGUCUCAUGCAGUCUGGGAAACAGGCACUAGAGGCAGUCUUGCCCUGCAAUGUAAACAGUGCUGUUUCUUUAAAAUUGUCAUGUUUUCCACUGCAGAGUUAAAGGGAAACUAUAUAGGAUAGAAAUAUAAAACUGUAUUCCUAGCCUGUAGUGCCCCUCCUCCCCCACCAAACUUUAAAAACUCUUGUCACUUACCUGAAUCCAGCUCUGAUGCCCCUUGGUGCUGGGUCAGGCUUCGCCUUUGCUCCUCCUCCCCAAUAUCGGGGGACCUAGUGCGCCAUUGCAUUAGCAAACCACAUGGGAAAUCACUGAAUCAAGGCUUUCCUAUGGAAUUUUGACUGAGGUUAGAUGUCCUCAUGCAUACCAAAAGUUAUCAAACCACCCGGAAGUCCCUCCUAGGUAGGGUUAACCCUGCAACGUAAAUAUUGCAGUUUUCAAUAACUGCAAUAAUUACCAUUGCAGGUUUAAACUGACAGGGACGCUACACCCAGACCACUUCCAUGAAAUUAAGUGGUCUAGGUGACUAUAGUGUAUAUAAGUGUAACUUAUGAAUAAUUCACAAGAGAAUUGCAUGUUUUCAGUCAAAAUAGCCUAAUAGUAUUUUCCAGUUAGUAUGUUUUUAAAAAAACCCAAAACAAACAGAAUUUUCAGUCAGAAUUUUGUAAGCAAUGUUAGGGAUUCUGCCAUUAAACAGUGAAUUGUGCUGUCUUGCCACAGACGUCCCUGCGUAACGCUCAUUUUUAAGAUACUAUAUCCUGCUUGUUGGUGAUACGAUAUGCUGUUGCAGUGUCAUAUGGUGUUUAAUAUUUAAAUGUUUAAUUCAACUGGAAAUGUCUGUGGUGUAAGGUGUUGUUUGCUUUGUCAGUAUUUACAUGUAUAAUCAGUCCUUCUAAAUACUUUUUUCUCUCUCAAAGCAUGUUUUUGAGUUUACUAAUUGGUACAGUAAGGUUUGCGUAAUUUAAUACUGAUGCUAAGAAUAAUUAGCAAAUGUAUUUUGUCCUUUGCUAUUAUUUAUUUUACGCUAAGAUUUGGACUUUGCUCACUUUCCUAUUUGGGUGUUUUGUUUUCCACAUUGAUCAUGCCCAUGAAAAACCAUUCAUUUGGUAUUUUCAUUGUUAAAAAUGGGCAUAAUAUCAUAAGACUUUUAUUNNNNNNNNNNNNNNNNNNNNNNNNNNNNNNNNNNNNNNNNNNNNNNNNNNNNNNNNNNNNNNNNNNNNNNNNNNNNNNNNNNNNNNNNNNNNNNNNNNNNGAUCCAUGUUUAAAAAGACUGUCAUCGACAUGCCUACCCAACACGUGGAUGAACAGGUUCUGUAGGUGUCUGUACUGUACACAACGUACUCUUAUGACUUUGCCUAAAGCAAUGCAUUCCAUGUGAAGUAUGUGUGUUCACAAAGGUAUUCCUGUAGCAAAUCUCAUAGCUAGGGUUAAAUUAGACAUGUGGUUACUUACAUCUGAAAAUCUGUGUAGUUACUAACCAUUUUUGUGGGUGAAAUUAUUUGCAAUGACGGACUCACAUUUGUGACUGUAGCACUUUAAAACACUGCCCCAGAAUAUUUGAAAAAUUACACUUGGACAUGGAACAUUUUAAUCAUGACAACCUAUUUCUCUUGUAUGGGUUAACUGUUAUGAUUCAAAAAACUCCGCUGUCUGCCACCCAUCCUUCUGUUUCUUAUAACUAUAGAAAAUAUUCUCCAACUAUACUUCUUUAGUCACUGCUUGACUGUCUUAGAUGGAAUUUUGCAAUUUGAUUUUCAGUUCAAUGUUCACUAAAUAAACCUUAUGAAUGAGUCGGUCAUCUAAUAGAGAAGGUGCUUAUGUCUUCAGAUCUUUUUGGGCAGUAGUGUUCAGGUUUAUGGAGGAUCCAUAGAUCACAUAGCUGCUGUGAUUUGACAAAAGUUGACAGCAAAGUUCCGCCUUUUUUUUUUUGUUUGUUUGUUUUUGUUUUUUUAAAGCCUUAGGUUUUCAAUGAAUGACUCAGUCAGCACGAGUAUUUAAAGAGAGCCUAUAGUGCCAGGAAAACAGUAGUUAAAACCCCUUCAGUCUCCUAGAUAAAUCCAGUGCUGGGUCAGGCUGUGCCCAUGCUCCUUCCCAGCAAACAGGUGAGACCUAAUGCGCAUGCACGGCAAUGUACGAGCUCGUAUUAGGAUUUCCCCAUAGGUAAGCAUUAAUAAAUGCUUUCCUAUGGGAAAAUCUGACGAUGGAGAUCCUCAUGCAGAGCGUGAGGACGUCCAGCGUCGGAUAACAUACCGAAGGUCCGUUUCAAACCAGGAAGCCCUCUAGUGGCUGUCUGGUAGACAGCCACUAGAGGUGGAGUUAACCCUGAGAGGUAAUUAUUGCAGUUACUCAGAAACUGCAAUAAUUACCACUGUAGGGUUAAGGGAUAUGGGAUAUUGCACUCAGGACCACUUCAGUGAGCUGAAGUGGUCUGGGUGCCUACAGUGUCCCUUUAAUAAAGAUAUCAUCUUUAUUUGGUGCUCAGAAAUGACAGAGCUUAUUCAGAGGGUUAGUACUCAUAAUCACUACAGAAAUAUGCUUAGAACUGACUUUGGCCAGCCAGGAACUCUUAUUUUCAGCUGGCUAAUGUACCCC
rnacentral:lncRNA from 1 species